UUCACAUGGAAGGGGGUGAUGUUACGAGUUUGGUAGUAACGCUCGAAUCACAAGCUAAAGGUACUGAUGACUAAAUCUUUACCGGGAUUUUAUGAGAAGACAGAAGAUAACUCAGGAGGAUAGCAGACGACAACAUCGGAAUCAUGGGAUGGCCGCCAUACUAUUAUUAGCGUAACAUGUUCAAAUCACGAUGUCUGUAUUACGUAUUUUCGGGGGUUUUCACAUAUAACAUGCAUGCUAGAGUAUUUACCUAGUUCACAUAGUUCCUAAAGACUUCAUUCGUAUCCAUUUUAAGUAUCGUUGAUUGUUAUUUAAGCUAGGAAUGACUAUUUUCGUCUCCUCAAACUGUAUGAUGUAUCUCGCCAUCUUUCCACAAUAACAAAGCCUUGAAGUUGUAAGCACGGCGCUGAUUGGUCAGUUAGCCGUGGCCGUAUGAAAGCGGAGCGCAGAUUCACUUACAGUACAGUUUUUGCGCGUGAGAUUAUUCCACAUACUAUAUAAACCCCGAAUUUCUUGAAAAUGUUGUCAUUCGUUUUAUUGAAACGACGGAGGUAUUGACCCUCCAACCCACACAUCAAUAUGGAGCCAUUGGUAAGCUUUAAAUCAAUUUAAAGUGGGACGGAUGACCCGGUGAUCAUGGUGGGGAAAUAUUUCCAUAUAUAAAC